rnacentral:rRNA from 1 species
CAGUCGCCACGGUGAUACGAAGGGGGCUAGCGUUGCUCUGAAUUACUGGGCGUAAAGCGUGCGUAGGCGGUUCGUUAAGUCUGUUGUGAAAGCCCCGGGCUCAACCUGGGAAUGGCAAUGAUACUAUCCGUCUUGAAUAUAGUGGAGGUGAGCGGAAUAUGUCAUGUAGCGGUGAAAUGCUUAGAUAUGACAUAGAACACCAAUUGCGAAGGCAGCUCGCUACACUAUCAUUGACACUGAGGCACGAAAGCGUGGGGAUCAAACAGGAUUAGAUACCCCCGUAGUCCCUGUCUCUUAUACA